rnacentral:lncRNA from 1 species
UCUCGAACUCCUGAUCUCAGAUGAUCCGCCUGCCUUGGCCUCCCAAAGUGCUGGGAUUACAGGCGUGAGCCACCGCACCUGGCCCAGACACUGUAAGUUUUGGGGAGGAUUAAAUGGGAUCAUCCAUGUAAAUGCGCCUAUCCCAGUCUCUAGCACACACUGAACACUCAAAAAUGGGAGGUUUUCGUAUUUCAGAAGAAAAUCAGGUGUCGGGGAGUGUUAGUAGUAACCUUGAACUAUAUGCAGAGACUAAAGCUAGGAAGAUAGGAAGAGUUUUACAAGAUCCUUUUGGCUAUAUAGUUAAAGUUAUUAGCAGUUAGAGUUUCCCUUACAGUUGACAAGUGAACCAUAAAAGUGAAUGACUUGUGGUUCCUCAGAUAAAAGCACGAGUCAGAGUUGUAAUUUCUGUUUUGUGGACGUAAUUGUUGACCAAGUGCACUGAAGGUAGGGAUGGCCAGUAGCAAAAUUAUAAAGCAGGCCUGUUUGUCUUCAAACACUCCUGAGUAAACUUGUCAUUUCCUUGUAAAAAUGCAAAAUAGACUACUGAGUAGAGGUGAUCAAUUAUAGAAAUGCACUUACUUUGGCUUUCUUCUGAAACCUAAUAAAAUGACAGUAAAGGGAUUAUUUUUUUAAGGCAGAAACCCACAAUGAUGAUGAAAUUAGAAAGGAAGACAAGAACAACAAGGUUGUGGAAUUCAGAAGCCAUAGAGACAAGAGGUAACACACCUGAGAAAGAUGAUCCCUAAGUUUGUCUUGGAGAAAACUCAGAAGUACCUGACUACAUCGUAGACCUCCCAAACAGCUUCCAAAUGUCAGAUACCACUGAACAUGGGGAUAAAGCUGGGAAAACGGCAAUGGAUUAAUAACAAGAAAUUAAUGGUGAAGUGGUGACUAAAAUUCUACAUUGCUUAGAAAGCAAGUAAGAAAAUCAGUGGUUGUAGAGAAGUUCUUCCAUGAGAUAGUGAAAUGAACAUUUACAUUCUGGCAACCUCAGAAGUACAACGAACAGAGGACACCCGCCAGGUAGGGCAAAGGCCUGUGCACCCCCUUUUGCUGUUACAUGUUUACCAGGUGCG